GUAGACAUACGCUCCGCUUGUUGAAUAAGUACGGUGUACGGCCACCUCGCCGUCGCGGCCACGGCCCCUCUCCUCGGCGAGCACGCCGCCGCCCGCGGCGGCGGGAUAUCCCCUGUAGAUGACCACACGGUGAUCGUCUCCGCCGGCCCGGGACGACUUCCACGGCGAGCCAGGUGAAGCGGGUGAGGAUUCUCUCGGCCUCGGCCUCGGCCAACCCAUCCCCAUCUGAUUUUACAGUUCAUUGUUACCGCAUCAUUCUGUUUGCUGCACCUGCGCUCUCUGCUACUCUGCUGCUGGUCCGACUGUUUCUGCGCAGGAGAUUUGGGAUUUCCAGCAGAUUACACGAGUAUGCUUCAAAUUUCUCAUCAUGUUGUGCUAAUGGGGUACAGCCUGAUUAGCAAUGGGGGUACACUUGUUUGUGUAAAUUGGGAUUAGAUCCGAAUCCAAUCCGAUUUCUAGGGAGGUUGAGAUUUAUGAAAUGAUAUUCAUCUAGAAUCAAGUUCUUAGAGGGAAAUGUUGUGAUUCAAUGGGAAAAGGGGAAAUAGUGGAGGAGAGCUCAUAGCCUGAUAGUCAGAUUUUUUGCAAGAAUGUGUACAUGCUACAGAAUGGAUUAUUGCCGGCCGUUUGGAUGUUCCUCUGGAUCACCGACAAUUUCAUAUGGGUGUUCCUCUGGAUACAAUGGGUACAUCCCUUUUAUGUCAUGUUUUUAGGAAUGUGGUAGCAGGCUAGCGGCGCUGGUGCAAUACAGUUAGGAGGGUCAGGAGGGUCUUUGUUUGUCCUUCUACAAGGUGACACAACAAGAUCUAACAAACUUCAUGUCCAGCAGAUCGCGUGUCAACAAAAGUGCACAUCUUGUGGAGCCAGAAAGUGCAUUUGGUGGAUAAAGCUUUUUUUGCCAGCUAGCCCCUGUAUCAGUUAUAGAUUGCUAAUAUUUGCAUGUGAAUGCACUGGUAUUUAUCAUGACUCUCAAUCUUCUUACAAAAACAAUCCAUUACUUAAUUUUUGAUACGGGAAACAAUCUGACACUGAUACAAUCUGUCAAAUGCAUUUGGUUUAUUGUAGAUUUUCUUGAGGCAAAUGACGUAAUGAUGAAGCCUUGAUCCACAAUCUAGUGAUGUGGCAGAUAAUGUAGACGACAGGAGAAACUAUUGGAUGGUUUUUA
rnacentral:lncRNA from 1 species